rnacentral:rRNA from 1 species
GAUCCUGGCUCAGGAUGAACGUUGGCGGCGUGCCUAACACAUGCAAGUCGAACGGAAAUAGCAAUAUUUGAGUGGCGCACGGGUGAGUAACACGUAGCUAAUCUACCUCAAAGCGCGGGAUAACGUGUCGAAAGACAGGCUAAUACCGCAUAAGCUCCCGAUCUGUAGAGGGUUGGGAGAAAAGGCGCAAGUCACUUUGAGAUGAGGCUGCGGCCCAUCAGCUAGUUGGUGCGGUAACGGCGUACCAAGGCGACGACGGGUAGGGGACCUGAGAGGGUGACCCCCCACACUGGGACUGAGACACGGCCCAGACUCCUACGGGAGGCAGCAGUGAGGAAUAUUGCACAAUGGGCGAAAGCCUGAUGCAGCGACGCCGCGUGGGUGAAGAAGGUUUUUCGGAUCGUAAAAACCCUUUUCUGUGUGACGAGCAAGGACGGUAGCACAGGAAUAAGUCUCGGCUAACUACGUGCCAGCAGCCGCGGUAAAAACGUAGGAGACAAACGUUAUCCGGAGUUACUGGGC